GCCCAUUAUGGGUAUGCCAUUUUUCUCUGUCUUCUCAGAUCCUUUUUCUUGGUUACUAUACUAUAGAAAUAUAUCUUUCUUGCUUCAUUCAUUUUGUCAUUGUAUUUGCUGCAGUAGAAGAAUUUAGUUUGCAGUCCAUUAAACCUUUAUCUGGCACUAAGAGCAGUACAAGCAUUUAGUUUGCAGUCCUUUUAACCUUUAUCUGCCGCUAAGAGAAAUAAUGCAGAAGCAGGAUAUGGGAAUAGGAAUCAAACAUCAAGUUAUAGAAGUCAAGGAUACAAGAACAAAAGGUGUGAUUACUGCAAUUUCACUGGUCACACAAGGGAGAAUUGUUACAAGCUGCAUGGAUAUCCUAAUGACUGGAGAAACAAGAAGAAAAACAACUACAACCCAAGGGGAACAACAAAUCAACCAUUUUAUAGUGGUCAAGGCAGAACUGGAGGAUAUGGGCAAUCAGCCACUGGUCACAAUAACAAUCAGUUAUCAGCUAACAGUUUCCUUAGACCUAAGGCAUAAAAUUCAUGCUUGAAUGAUCAGUCAAGCAGCCAGGGUAAUAAAGAUAUCAACAAUGCUGUUGUAGCAAAGGCACAAGGCUUCUCAGAAGAAGAAUACAGAUAAAUCAUGACAUUGAUUAACAAGAAGACACAUGACUAAGAACAACCUAACAUGACAGGUACUGUUACUUGUUUAUUUAGUCAUAGUGUUCCACAUGAAUGGGUAGUAGACUCUGGAGCCACACAUCAUGUUGUAGCAUACAAAGAUGUUCUUUCAAACUAUCACAAAAUGGAUAACUCCAUAUGUGUUAAAGUCAAUUUACCUACUGGAGCCAAAGUUGAUAUAUCACAUGUAGGGAAGCACAUGUACUUAAAUAUAAGGUUGUACGAGAUGUGUUAUAUGUCCCAAAUUUUAAGCUGAACUUGCUGUCAGUGUCUAAAAUGACUAAGCAGCUAUCUUGCUUUGUUACUUUC